rnacentral:lncRNA from 1 species
GGGAGGUGGCACAGAGCAGGGCUUGGUGUCCUCAGAGCCGGCAGGAUUCACUGUGGGGAUCACAACUCUGCCAUCUCCUCGUUUGGAGUUUAUCCUUGUUUCCUGAGGAAUCUGCAACGCAGAGAUUUGGGAUUAUGGGGUGAGAAUUGGGGCUGCCACCAAGGAGAGAGAGCUCCUGUUCCCUCUGGGCAGAAAACCCAGAGAUUUGGGAUUAUGGGGUGAGAAUUGAGGCUGCCCUGCCACCAGGGAGAGCGAGCUCUUCUUCCCCCUGGGCAGGCACCCCAGAAAUUUGGGAUUAUUUGGGGUGAGAAUUGAGGCUGCCACCAAGGAGAGCUCCUGUUCCCCCUGGGCAGGCACCCCAGAAAUUUGGGAUUAUGGGGUGAGAAUUGAGGCUGCCACCAAGGAAAGAGCUCCUGUUCCCCCAGGGCAGGCUGGCACCUGCCAGUGGGAAAGGGAUGGGAACCCACCCAAACCCAGCCCCUCGUGGAUUUUCAUCCGU